rnacentral:rRNA from 1 species
UGCAGAGGUCCCGAGCGUUGUUCGGAUUCACUGGGCGUAAAGGGUGCGUAGGUGGCUUGAAAAGUUUGAUGUGAAAGCUCAGGGCUUAACCCUGAAAUGGCAUUGAAUACUGUCGAGCUGGAGGUUUGGAGGGGGGACUGGAAUUCUUGGUGUAGCAGUGAAAUGCGUAGAUAUCAAGAGGAACACCAGUGGCGAAGGCGAGUCCCUGGACAACACCUGACACUGAGGCACGAAAGCGUGGGGAGCGAACAGG